rnacentral:rRNA from 1 species
CCGCACAAGCGGUGGAUGAUGUGGUUUAAUUCGAUGCAACGCGAAAAACCUUACCCACCUUUGACAUGUACGGAAUUUGCCAGAGAUGGCUUAGUGCUCGAAAGAGAGCCGUAACACAGGUGCUGCAUGGCUGUCGUCAGCUCGUGUCGUGAGAUGUUGGGUUAAGUCCCGCAACGAGCGCAACCCUUGUCAUUAGUUGCUACGAAAGGGCACUCUAAUGAGACUGCCGGUGACAAACCGGAGGAAGGUGGGGAUGACGUCAAGUCCUCAUGGCCCUUAUAGGUAGGGCUUCACACGUCAUACAAUGGUACAUACAGAGGGCCGCCAACCCGCGAGGGGGAGCUAAUCCCAGAAAGUGUAUCGUAGUCCGGAUUGUAGUCUGCAACUCGACUACAUGAAGUUGGAAUCGCUAGUAAUCGCGGAUCAGCAUGUCGCGGUGAAUACGUUCCCGGGUCUUGUACACACCGCCCGUCACACCAUGGGAGCGGGUUUCACCAGAAGUAGGUAGCCUAACCGUAAGGAGGGCGCUUACCACGGUGGGAUUCGUGACUGGGGUGAAGUCGUAACAAGGUAGCCGUA